UGGGGAAUCUUGGACAAUGGGGGCAACCCUGAUCCAGCCAUGCCGCGUGAGUGAUGAAGGCCUUAGGGUCGUAAAGCUCUUUCGCCUGUGAAGAUAAUGACGGUAGCCGGAGAAGAAGCCCCGGCUAACUCCGUGCCAGCAGCCGCGGUAAUACGGAGGGGGCUAGCGUUGUUCGGAAUUACUGGGCGUAAAGCGCACGUAGGCGGACCAGAAAGUUGGGGGUGAAAUCCCGGGGGCUCAACCCCGGAACUGCCUCCAAAACUAUUGGUCUAGAGUUCGAGAGAGGUGAGUGGAAUUCCAAGUGUAGAGGUGAAAUUCGUAGAUAUUUGGAGGAACACCAGUGGCGAAGGCGGCUCACUGGCUCGAUACUGACGCUGAGGUGCGAAAGUGUGGGGAGCAAACAGGAUUAGAUACCCUGGUAGUCCACGCCGUAAAACGAUGAGUGCUAGAUGUUGGGAUUUUCGGAUUUCAGUGUCGCAGCUAACGCAUUAAGCACUCCG
rnacentral:rRNA from 1 species